UACGUAGGUGGCAAGCGUUACUCGGAUUCACUAGGCGUAAAGCGCGGGUAGGUGGCUCGGUCAGUCUGUUGUGAAAGCUCCCGGCUUAACUGGGAGAGGUCAAUGGAUACUGCCGGGCUUGAGUGUGGGAGGGGGUGCUGGAAUUCCCGGUGUAGCGGUGAAAUGCGUAGAGAUCGGGAGGAACACCAAUGGCGAAAGCAGGCACCUGGACCAAUACUGACACUGAGCCGCGAAAGCUAGGGGAGCAAAC
rnacentral:rRNA from 1 species